rnacentral:rRNA from 1 species
UACGGAGGGUGCAAGCGUUAUCCGGAUUUACUGGGUUUAAAGGGUGCGUAGGUGGGUUGGUAAGUCAGUGGUGAAAUCUUCGAGCUUAACUCGGAAACUGCCAUUGAUACUAUUAAUCUUGAAUUAUCUGGAGGUAAGCGGAAUAUGUCAUGUAGCGGUGAAAUGCUUAGAUAUGACAUAGAACACCGAUCGCGAAGGCAGCUAACGAAGCUAGUACUGACACUGAUGCACGAAAGCGUGGGGAGCAAACAGG